rnacentral:rRNA from 1 species
UACGGAGGAUCCGAGCGUUAUCCGGAUUUAUUGGGUUUAAAGGGUGCGCAGGCGGAAGAUUAAGUCGGUGGUGAAAUUUUGCAGCUCAACUGUAAAAGUGCCAUUGAUACUGGUUUUCUUGAGUGUGGAUGAAGUAGGCGGAAUUUGUGGUGUAGCGGUGAAAUGCAUAGAUAUCACGAGGAACUCCGAUUGCGCAGGCAGCUUACUAAGCCAUAACUGACGCUCAGGCACGAAGGCGUGGGGAUCAAACAGGAUUAGA